rnacentral:rRNA from 1 species
CCUACGGGAGUCAGCAGUGAGGAAUAUUGGUCAAUGGCCGGAAGGCUGAACCAGCCAUGCCGCGUGAAGGUCAGUGCCCUAUGGGCGUUAAACUUCUUUUGUGCGGGAGCAAUAAUGGUCACGUGUGGCCAGACGAGAGUACCGUACGAAUAAGCAUCGGCUAACUCCGUUCCAGCAGCCGCGGUAAUACGGGGGAUGCAAGCGUUGUCCGGAAUUACUGGGUGUAAAGGGAGCGUAGGCGGGAAAGCAAGUUGAAUGUUUAAGGUACGGGCUCAACCUGUACAAGCGUUCAAAACUGUUUUGCUGGAGUGGAGUAGAGGUAAGCGGAAUUCCUAGUGUAGCGGUGAAAUGCGUAAAUAUUAGGAGGAACACCAGUGGCGAAGGCGGCUUACUGGGCUUUAACUGACGCUGAGGCUCGAAAGCGUGGGUAGCAAACAGGAUUAGAUACCCUGGUAGUC